rnacentral:rRNA from 1 species
GACAGAGGGUGCAAACGUUGUUCGGAAUUACUGGGCGUAAAGCGCAUGUAGGUGGUUUGGCAAGUCGGAUGUGAAAGCCCUGGGCUCAACCCAGGAAGUGCAUUCGAAACUGCUGAGCUGGAGUCUUGGAGAGGGAAGUGGAAUUCUCGGUGUAGAGGUGAAAUUCGUAGAUAUCGAGAGGAACACCGGUGGCGAAGGCGGCUUCCUGGACAAUGACUGACACUGAGAUGCGAAAGCGUGGGGAGCAAAC